GGUUCGAUUCUGGCUCUAGAUUGAACGCUGGCGGUGGGAUGCUUUACACAUGCAGGUCGAACGGCAGCACGGACUUCGGUCUGGUGUGGCGAGUGGCGAACGGUGAGUAAUGUAUCGGAACGUGCCUAGUAGCGGGGGAUAACUACGCGGAAAGCGUACGCUAAUACCGCAUGGGCCGCCCUUCGGGGGAAAGCGGGGACCUUCGGGCUCCUGCACUAUUAGAGCGGCCGAUAUCGGAUUGCUGAAGGUGUGGGUAACGGCUCACCAUUGUUGUUAGACAUGAUCCGUAGCUGGUUUGAGAGGACGACCAGCCACACUGGGACUGAGACACGGCCCAGACUCCUACGGGAGGCAGUGGGGAAUUUUGACAAUGGGGAACUCUGAUCCAGCCAUCCUGCGUAAAAGUGAUGAAGGCCUUCGGGUUGUAAAGCACUUUUGGCAGGAAAGAAACGGCACGGGAUAAUACCCCGUGCAACUGACGGUACCUGCAGAAUGCAAGGCACCGGCUAACUACGUGCCAGCAGCCGCGGUGUUUAUCGUACAGGGUGCAAGCGUUAAUCGGAAUUACUGGGCGUAAAGCGUGCGCAGGCGGUUCGAAAGAAAGAUGUGAAAUCCCAGAGCUUAACUUUGGAACUGCAUUUUUAACUACCGAGCUAGGAGUGUGUCAGAGGGAGGUGGAAUUCGCGUGUAGCAGUGAAAUGCGUAGAUAUGCGGAGGAACACCGAUGGCGAAGGCAGCUCUCCUGGGAUAACACUGACGCUCAUGCACGAAAGCGUGGGAGCAAAACAGGAUUAGAUACCCUGGUAGUCCACGCCCUAAACGAUGGUCAGUCUAGCUGUUGGGGCCUGCCUUGUAGCGCAGCUAACGGUGAAGUUGACCGCCCUGGGAGUACGGUCGCAAGAUUAAAAAUCAAAGGAAUUGACGGGGACCCGCACAAGCGGUGGAUGAUGUGGAUUAAUUCGAUGCAACGCGAAAAACCUUACCUACCUGAUGUCUGGAAUCCCGAAGAGAUUUGGGAGUGCUCGCAAGAGAACCGGAACACAGGUGCUGCAUGGCUGUCGUCAGCUCGUGUCGUGAGAUGUUGGGUUAAGUCCCGCAACGAGCGCAACCUUGUCAUUAGUUGCUACGAAAGGGCACUCUAAUGAGAUCAAGCGGCGACAAACCGGAGGAAGGGGUGGGGAUGACGUCAAGUCCUCAUGGCCCUUAUGGGUAGGGCUUCUACACGUCAUAAUGGUCGGGACAGAGGGUCGCCAACCCGCGAGGGGGAGCCAAUCCCAGAAACCUGAUCGUAGUCCGGAUCGUGAACGCAACUGCUGGACUGCGUGAAGUCGGAAUCGCUAGUAAUCGCGGAUCAGCAUGUCGCGUGAAUACGUUCCCGGGUCUUGUACACACCGCCCGUCACACCAUGGGAGUGGGUUUUACCAGAAGUAGUUAGCCUAACCGUAAGGAGGAUUACCACGGUAGGAUUCAUGACUGGGGUGAAGUCGUAACAAGGUAA
rnacentral:rRNA from 1 species